UGAAAGACUGGUUCUCAUAUGAUCACCGAAGUUAAGUGAUGUUGACCCUGGUCAGUACUUAGAUGGGAGACUGCUUCGGAAUACCAG